UACGUAGGGGGCAAGCGUUGUCCGGAUUUAUUGGGCGUAAAGAGCGUGUAGGCGGCUUUACAGGUCCGUUGUGAAAACUCGAGGCUCAACCUCGAGACGCCGGUGGAAACCGUAAAGCUAGAGUCCGGAAGAGGAGAGUGGAAUUCCUGGUGUAGCGGUGAAAUGCGCAGAUAUCAGGAGGAACACCCGUGGCGAAAGCGGCUCUCUGGGACGGUACUGACGCUCAGGCGCGAAAGCGUGGGGAGCAAACAGG
rnacentral:rRNA from 1 species